CAGCAGCCACGGUAAUACGUAGGUGGCAAGCGUUGUUCGGAAUUAUUGGGCGUAAAGGGCUCGCAGGCGGUUUCUUAAGUCUGAUGUGAAAGCCCCCGGCUCAACCGGGGAGGGUCAUUGGAAACUGGGAAACUUGAGUGCAGAAGAGGAGAGUGGAAUUCCACGUGUAGCGGUGAAAUGCGUAGAGAUGUGGAGGAACACCAGUGGCGAAGGCGACUCUCUGGACUGUAACUGACGCUGAGGAGCGAAAGCGUGGGGAGCGAACAGGAUUAGAGACCCCCGUAGUCCCUGUCUCUUAUAC
rnacentral:rRNA from 1 species